GAUGAACGCUGACAGAAUGCUUAACACAUGCAAGUCUACUUGAACUUCGGUUUGGGUGGCGGACGGGUGAGUAACGCGUAAAGAACUUGCCUCACAGAUAGGGACAACAUUUGGAAACGAAUGCUAAUACCUGAUAUUAUGAUUUUAGGGCAUCCUAGAAUUAUGAAAGCUAUAUGCACUGUGAGAGAGCUUUGCGUCCCAUUAGCUAGUUGGAGAGGUAACGGCUCACCAAGGCGAUGAUGGGUAGCCGGCCUGAGAGGGUAAUCGGCCACAAGGGGACUGAGACACGGCCCUUACUCCUACGGGAGGCAGCAGUGGGGAAUAUUGGACAAUGGACCAAGAGUCUGAUCCAGCAAUUCUGUGUGCACGAUGAAGUUUUUCGGAAUGUAAAGUGCUUUCAGUUGGGAAGAAAAAAAUGACGGUACCAACAGAAGAAGUGACGGCUAAAUACGUGCCAGCAGCCGCGGUAAUACGUAUGUCACAAGCGUUAUCCGGAUUUAUUGGGCGUAAAGCGCGUCUAGGUGGUUAUGUAAGUCUGAUGUGAAAAUGCAGGGCUCAACUCUGUAUUGCGUUGGAAACUGUGUAACUAGAGUACUGGAGAGGUAAGCGGAACUACAAGUGUAGAGGUGAAAUUUGUAGAUAUUUGUAGGAAUGCCGAUGGGGAAGCCAGCUUACUGGACAGAUACUGACGCUGAAGCGCGAAAGCGUGGGUAGCAAACAGG
rnacentral:rRNA from 1 species